AGUGAACGCUGGCGGUAGGCCUAACACAUGCAAGUCGAACGGCAGCACAGUAAGAGCUUGCUCUUACGGGUGGCGAGUGGCGGACGGGUGAGGAGUACAUCGGAAUCUACUUUUUCGUGGGGGAUAACGUAGGGAAACUUACGCUAAUACCGCAUACGACCUACGGGUGAAAGAAGGGGAUCUUUGGACCUUGCGCGAUUGAAUGAGCCGAUGUCGGAUUAGCUAGUUGGCGGGGUAAAGGCCCACCAAGGCGACGAUCCGUAGCUGGUCUGAGAGGAUGAUCAGCCACACUGGAACUGAGACACGGUCCAGACUCCUACGGGAGGCAGCAGUGGGGAAUAUUGGACAAUGGGCGCAAGCCUGAUCCAGCCAUACCGCGUGGGUGAAGAAGGCCUUCGGGUUGUAAAGCCCUUUUGUUGGGAAAGAAAAGCAGCAGGUUAAUACCCCGCUGUUCUGACGGUACCCAAAGAAUAAGCACCGGCUAACUUCGUG
rnacentral:rRNA from 1 species